AUGCAGAAAGCACCGCCUUCUGCAUCCAAGGCCUCAACAUCGGCAGGAGUCAUUGCUGCCUGAAGAAGCUCCCGAGCAACCUGAAAAUUGCCAAAGCCCAAUCUAUUAUCUCAGGCCUCAGAUUAGGUCAGAGCUUUUGGCUCUAGAGAAACUUCAGCUAGCAGAUCGAUUGGACAAGAAGAUAUUUGCACCAAAAUUUGGGGUUUGCCCGAACCUCGGUGCAAUAAGGCUGCAG
rnacentral:lncRNA from 1 species